CAUACAUGGAAGGAUGAUUGAAUCAGGCUACUUUACAUGGUCAUUAUCUCACACACUUGACCUUUCUGUAUGGGUAGGAUAUUUAAUAUCUUCCUUUUUAGCAAUUUUGAAAUAUGCAAAGUAUUAUUGUUAACUAAAAAUACCAUGUUCAGCAGGAGAUGAUUAGAACUCAUUCCUCCUGUCUACAUAAAACUUUGUACCCUUUAAGCAACUUCUUCUCUUUCCCCAACCACUCACACUGUCACCCCCCUUCCCAAGUUCUGGCAAUCAUUACUUUUCUCUUAUAUUACAUAUAAAAGUGGUAUCAUGUGGUCUUUAUCUUGCUGUGCCUGACUUAUUUCUCUUAAUUUCCCCUGGUUUUCCUUGGUUUAAUCGUGAGAUCAUAGUAAAAACUCACAAGAGUGUUAAAAUAUGCUCUGGCUAAUGCAAGUGUUGCAGUAUGUGAAUAGGAAGCAUGCAUUAUUUAUAAAAACUAAGGAAACUCUCUGUAAUAGGGGUUUGGUGUUCAUGGGACUACAAAGAAGUAGGGUGAUGAGAAGCAGGUCAGAGAAGGCAUGCCUGAUAGGGAGGGAAGUGGAGCAUAUCCCAAAGAGGAGAGCACAGCCACAGACAGAUAGAUGGAUCUUCUUCAAAUAGGAACAAAGCAGAGCUUGUACAUAGGUGGCUCAGAGACAAAUCCUCUAGCAGCUGGGUUGGUGUCAAGGUCCUUUGGGUCAACCACAGAUUUCAGGCAAAAGUUCUGUAAAAUGGUGGUCAGGAAUAAAAACAGUUUCAUCCGGGCCAGGCCCUCUCCCACACAUAUCUG
rnacentral:lncRNA from 1 species